GCUAAUUAAUUUUGAAGCAGAGCUUCCUAUAAGAUUACUGAACAUGAUUCUGGUAACCUUAGUAAAUAGAGGGUCAGCGAGAAGCCAGACACUAAUUUCUAGUGUUAAAACUUCCCUAUUCUUAAUACCUACCACUAGUUCUAGCACAAGAUUUUUUGAGGAAAUAGAAAUUCACCCAAUUAAAAAAAAUGAGCAAAAGAGAUUGCACAGAUACAUCACAAAAGAAGAUAUCCAAGUAGCAAAUAAGCAUAUGAAAAAGAGCCCUAAAUCAUUACUCACAGGGAAAUGCUAAUUAGAGUAGCAAUUAUAUACCACUUCACACAUAUUUGGGAGCAUGAGCAGUAACCAGAACUCAAACAUUUCCAGGUGGAGUGUCAACUGGUCCAAACACUUUGGUAGCCUUACAGUAUCUACUAAAGUUCUAAUGAUUCAGUGAUUCCAUUCUUAGGUAUAUAUCAAAGAGAAAUGGUGCAUAUGUUCACCAAAAGACAUAUAUAAGAAUAUUUAUAGCAGCUUUAUUCAGAAUAGUCACAAACUAGAAACAACCAAAUGUCCAAAGUCUCUAGAGUAAGCAGAAAGCAGAUAGUCACAUUGUGAAAUAUUACACACCAAAAAAUUAAAAGAAUAAACCUCAAAGACAUUUUGUUGAAGCCUGUAAAUCGGACAUGAGAGUUUAUACUAUGAGAUUCCAUUUACAUGAUAUUCAAGAAUAAGUAAAACCAAUCAAUGGAAAAGUCAGGAUUAGUGGUUACUGAGGAGGGAGGGAGAUGCUGGCUGGGAAAGGGCAUGAAGGAACUUCCUGGGCACUAGAGACGCUGUAUGCCUUUACUGGGAUCAUGGUUACCUGGGUGUACACCUAAUGUAGAAAUUCGCCCAGCUGUAUACUUAAGAGGUGUAUACUUUAUAUAAAUUAUACCUAACUGGGGAAAAAAACACAAUUAGAAAGUAAUAUAAAAAAUGUAAGCUCAGCUGAUCAAUACUAAUUGGAGAUAAUCUGGCCUUAUGCCCUUUGCCAGCCUAUCUCCUGAUCAACUCUGUCUUGGCAUCAGGUGUUCUAUUAGCCUAAACUGCUAGCAGCCCUGUGGCUAAAGGCAGGGAGGGCACCAUUUACUCAGAAGCUCUAUCGUCCCUUUUUACAGAUGAGAAGACUGAUUCAGAGAAGUGAAGCAGCAGCUCCAAGGACAUAUAACUGCAUGAUUUUGGAGCUUUUCUGCCCUGCUCUUUUCUCUCUGUGCUAACUAAUGGAAUCCCAGCAUUUUCCCUGGAGAAGGCGGCUAGUGAAGAGUAACGGUGGAAGGACGGGAACAAGGAGACAGCACUCUUUUCCAUUCAGCUGCAUGCCAUAAACACCUGUUCAAAGAAUCUGAUCUGAUAAGGCGCUGGAAUGAGAACACUUGCAAGACCAUGAAGCUUGGUCUCCUGACCACUAUGGGGAUGUGUGUGGAAAUUGCUGUUACCAUCACAUUCUGUUGAGCUAAUUA